rnacentral:piRNA from 1 species
UGGUCCAAAUGUACUACAUGAGUUUUGA